AUGGUGGGCAAUCCAGUACUGCUAUUAACGGAGAAAGGAGAUUGUGGGAUAUUAUCUGGAAAGGCCAACAUCCCACAAAAUAUCAGAAUUUUUGGAUGGCGUGCAACAUCUGAUAGCCUGGUGGUUCAGGUUAAUAGAGUUUUACAUCAUCAAGCUACCAUUCCCACUUGCUCUAUCUGCGGGGUUGAAGAUGAGAGUACUUUCCACGCUCUUGUUUCUUGCACAAAGGCUCAUGCACUUCGUUUGGCGUUGAGGAAAGUGUGGAAUUUGCCUGGGGAAGAGGCUUUGAAUUAUACUGGGCCUGACUGGUUACUUAUUUUAUUAGACCAGUUAAGUUGUUCGCAAAGGGAGCACAUCUUGUUUCUUUUCUGGCGAGUUUGGCACUUAAGGAAUAAUUUGAUUUUUGGGAAAGGAAAAGAAACU
rnacentral:rRNA from 1 species